AUUGAACGCUGGCGGCAGGCUUAACACAUGCAAGUCGAGCGGAGAGAGGUAGCUUGCUACCGAUCUUAGCGGCGGACGGGUGAGUAAUGCUUAGGAAUCUGCCUAUUAGUGGGGGACAACAUUUCGAAAGGAAUGCUAAUACCGCAUACGUCCUACGGGAGAAAGCAGGGGAUCUUCGGACCUUGCGCUAAUAGAUGAGCCUAAGUCGGAUUAGCUAGUUGGUGGGGUAAAGGCCUACCAAGGCGACGAUCUGUAGCGGGUCUGAGAGGAUGAUCCGCCACACUGGGACUGAGACACGGCCCAGACUCCUACGGGAGGCAGCAGUGGGGAAUAUUGGACAAUGGGCGCAAGCCUGAUCCAGCCAUGCCGCGUGCGUGAAGAAGGCCUUAUGGUUGUAAAGCACUUUAAGCGAGGAGGAGGCUACUGAAGUUAAUACCUUCAGAUAGUGGACGUUACUCGCAGAAUAAGCACCGGCUAACUCUGUGCCAGCCGCCGCAGUAAGAC
rnacentral:rRNA from 1 species